rnacentral:rRNA from 1 species
CGCGUGUACUGGAGUGGCCGGGCCUUUCCUUCUGGGGAAGCCCAUGGCCUUUAUUGGCUGUGUGGGGGAACCAGGACUUUUACUUUGAAAAAAUUAGAGUGUUCAAAGCAGGCCUUUGCUCGGAUACAUUAGCAUGGAAUAAUAGAAUAGGACGGCUUUCCUAUUUUGUUGGUUUCUAGGAGAGCCGUAAUGAUUAAUAGGGACAGUCGGGGGCAUCAGUAUUCAAUUGACAGAGGUGAAAUUCUUGGAUUUAUUGAAGACUAACUACUGCGAAAGCAUUUGCCAAGGAUGUUUUCAUUAAUCAGUGAACGAAAGUUAGGGGAUCGAAGACGAUCAGAUACCGUCGUAGUCUUAACCAUAAACUAUGCCGACUAGGGAUCGGUGGAUGUUAUUUUGUUGACUCCAUCGGGCACCUUACGAGAAAUCAAAGUUUUUGGGUUCUGGGGGGAGUAUGGUCGCAAGGCUGAAACUUAAAGAAAUUGACGGAAGGGCACCACCAGGAGUGGAGCCUGCGGCUUAAUUUGACUCAACACGGGGAAACUCACCAGGUUCGGAUAUGAUAAGGAUUGACAGAUUGAGAGCUCUUUCUUGACUUCAUAGUUUGGUGGUGCAUGGGCCGUUCUUAGUUGGUGGAGUGAUUUGUCUGCUUAAUUGCGAUAACGAACGAGACCUUAACCUGCUAAAUAGCCCUGCUGGCUCCGGCUGGCAGCAGGCUUCUUAGAGGGACUAUCGG